rnacentral:rRNA from 1 species
UUUUGGUUGUAAUAUAUAAUACAAAAACAUUAAAAGCUAUGAUCUCUAAAUUUAAAGGAUCUGGCGGUAGUUUAGUCCAGUUAGAGGAACCUGUUUCUUAAUCGAUACACCACGCAAAAUCUUACCUAUUUUCAGCUUGUAUACCGUCAUUAUUAGAUGACUUUAAAAAAAUAAAGUUAUUACAAUAAACCUAUGGUUUAAUAAAUUAGAUCAAGGCGCAGCGCAUAAUUAGGUGUAUAAUGGGUUACAAUAGAAUUAAUCUAUACGAAUUCAAAGUUUAAAUAUUUCAAUGAAGGAGGAUUUAAUAGUAAAACCAGUUUAAUAAGCUAGUUUGAUAAAGGAUCUAAACUGUGUACAAAUCGCCCGUCAUUUUCAUUACCAAAUGAAACAAGUCGUAACAUAG